UAGUCCACGCCGUAAACGAUGGGUAUUAGGUAUUUGGUCUAGGACUGAGUGCUGUAGCUAACGCGUUAAAUACCCCGCCUGGGUAGUAUAUAUGCAAAUAUGAAACUCAAAGAAAUUGACGGGGACCUGAACAAGUGGUGGAGCAUGUUGCUUAAUUCGAUAAUACACGAAAAACCUUACCGAGGCUUGUAAUCUUUUGCGAAGCUAUAGAAAUAUAGUGGAGGUUAUCAKAAUGACAKGUGGUGCAUGGCUGUCGUCAGCUCGUGUCUUGAGAUGUUUGGUUAAGUCCCGUAACGAGCGCAACCCUUCUCUUUAGUUAAAUAGUUCUAAAGUGA
rnacentral:rRNA from 1 species